GGCUAACUACGUGCCAGCAGCCGCGGUAAUACGUAGGGUGCAAGCGUUAUCCGGAAUUAUUGGGCGUAAAGGGCUCGUAGGCGGUUCGUCGCGUCCGGUGUGAAAGUCCAUCGCUUAACGGUGGAUCCGCGCCGGGUACGGGCGGGCUUGAGUGCGGUAGGGGAGACUGGAAUUCCCGGUGUAACGGUGGAAUGUGUAGAUAUCGGGAAGAACACCAAUGGCGAAGGCAGGUCUCUGGGCCGUUACUGACGCUGAGGAGCGAAAGCGUGGGGA
rnacentral:rRNA from 1 species